CCUACGGGUGGCAGCAGUGGGGAAUAUUGCACAAUGGGGGAAACCCUGAUGCAGCGACGCCGCGUGAAGGAAGAAGGAUUUCGGUAUGUAAACUUCUAUCAGCAGGGAAGAAAAUGACGGUACCUGACUAAGAAGCCCCGGCUAACUACGUGCCAGCAGCCGCGGUAAUACGUAGGGGGCAAGCGUUAUCCGGAUUUACUGGGUGUAAAGGGAGCGUAGGCGGUUUAGCAAGUCAGAAGUGAAAGCCGGGGGCUCAACUCCGGGACUGCUUUUGAAACUGGUGAACUUGAUUGCAGGAGAGGUAAGUGGAAUUCCUAUUGUAGCGGUUAAAUGCGUAGAUAUUAGGAGGAACCCCAGUGGCGAAGGCGGCUUACUGGACUGUAACUGACGCUGAGGCUCGAAAGCGUGGGGAGCAAACAGGAUUAGAUACCCUUGUAGUC
rnacentral:rRNA from 1 species